CUCUUCCCUUGCCCUCACCCUUACCUUGUCUCAUUUUAGCCUUACAUGUUGACUUCAUGACAUUAUUUAGAGAUGAUGUUCUUUCUUUUUCCAUAUAGAAAAUAACCACCUUCAAAGUGACAGCUUAGGGCUCAAACACAGUAGCUAUUCCAGCUACAUCUGAAGACAGACCAGCAUUAUUAGGGAUACAAUUGGUUGUUAUGAACCAGACAGUCGUCGUCGUCGUCGUCGUCAUCAAACAGGCUCCUUUAGAAGAUGGGGAAGGACUUCCCUGGUGGCACAGUGGUUAAGAAUCUGCCUGCCAAUGCAGGGGACACGGGAAGAUCCCACAUGCCGCGGAGCAACUAAGCCCGUGUACCGCAACUACUGAGCCUGCGCUCUAGAGCCCACAAGCCACAACUACUGAAGCCCAUGAGCCACAACUACUGAAGCCCGCAUGCCUAGAGCCCGUGCUCCACAACAAGAGAAGCCACCGCAAUGAGAAGCCCGUGCACUGCAGCAAAGACCCAAUGCAGCCAAAAAUAAAAAAUGAAUUAAAAAAAAAAGACACAAAAAAGUUGAACAUGAAAGGAUUGAAAAAAAAGAAGAUGGGGAAAGUGCAGGUGGUUGACCCUGGAAGAAUUCAAGCAGAGCAUGAUUUUUGCUGCAUGGAGAAGGAAGUUUGGUUUGGAUUUACAAGUCUCAGGAGAAAGGCAAAUGCCUUUUCCUGGGCCUCUGUUGAAGCAGCCAGGUGCCACUUCCUGGAGCUGUUGCUGGUCCCUAACAUAGCCACAGAGAGCAUCAGGAUACAGGACACUGAAGGACCUCACUGUUCCAGAGGAUGUAGCAGGAAAUACGUCAAAUCCAUAGCACAGGCUCCGGACACGCAGGCUCAGCGGCCAUGGCUCACGGGCCCAGCCGCUCCGCAGCAUGUGGGAUCUUCCCGGACCGGGGCACGAACCCGUGUCCCCUGCAUCGGCAGGCGGACUCUCAACCACUGCGCCACCAGGGAAGCCCGACCAAUUUUUAACCUGCAUUCAUUCGUGUGUGUGUGUGGGGGGUGUAUGUUUAGUUCUAUGCACUUAAAUCCCAAGUAGAGAUUCUUGUAACUACCACCACGGUCAAGGUUGUUACUGUUGAGCAGAAGCAAGAAGAACUACAGUCCUGCAGCCUGUGGAACGAAAACCACAUUCACAGAAAGAUAGACAAAAUGAAAAGGCAGAGGACAAUGUACCAGAUGAAGGAACAAGAUAAAACCCCAGAAAAACAACUAAAUGAAGUGGAGAUAGACAACAUCCCAGAAAAAGAAUUCAGAAUAAUGAUAGUGAAGAUUCAGGACCUCAGAAAAAGAAUGGAGGCAAAGAUCGAGAAGAUGCAAGAAAUGUUUAACAGGGCUUCCCUGGUGGCACAGUGGUUAAGAAUAUGCCUGCCAAUGCAGGAGACAUGGGUUUGAACCCUGGUACAGGAAGAUCCCACAUGCCGCGAACAACAAAGCCCAUGCGCCACAACUACUAAGCCUGCACCCUACAGCCCGUAAGCCACAACUACUGAGCCCACGUGCCACAACUACUGAAGCCCAUGCGCCUAGAGCCCAUGCUCCGCAACAAGAGAAGCCACUGCAAUAAGAAGCCUGUGCACCACAAUGAAGAGUAGCCCCUGCUUGCCACAACUAGAGAAAAGCCCGUGUGCAGCAACAAAGACCCAAUGCAACCAAAAAUAAAUAAAUAAAUUUAUUUAAAAAAAAGAGAAACGUUGAACAAAGACCUAGAAGAAUUAAAGAACAAACACCUACAAGAAUUAAAGAACAAACAAACAGAGCUGAACAAUACAAUAACUGAAAUAAAAAAUACACUAGAAGGAAGCAAUAGCAGAAUAACUGAGGCAGAAGAACGGAUAAGUGACCUGGAAGACAGAAUGGUGGAAUUCACUGCCAUGGAACAGAAUAAAGAAAAAAGAAUGAAAAGAAGUGAAGACAGCCUAAGAGACCUCUGGGACAACAUUAAACGCACCAACAUUCACAUUAUAGGGAUCCCAGAAGGAUAAGAGAGAGAGAAAGGACCCAAGAAAAUAUUUGAAGAGAUUAUGGUCAAAAACUUGCUAACAUGGGGAAAGAAAUAGCCACCCAAGUCCAGGAAGCACAGAGAGUCCCAGGCAGGAUAAACCCAAGGAGAAACAUGCUGAGACACAUAGUAAUCAAAUUGACAAAAAUGAAAGACAGAAAAAGUAUUAAAAGCAACAAAACAAAACAACAAAUAACAUACAAGGGAACUCCCAUAAGGUUAACAACUGAUUUCUCAGCAGAAACUCUACAAGCCAGAAGGGAGUGGCAUGAUAUAUUUAAAGUGAUGAAAGGGAAGAGCCUACAACCAAGAUUACUCUACCUGGCAAGGAUCUCAUUCAGAUUUGAUGGAGAAAUCAAAAGCUUUACAGACAAGAAAAAGCUAAGAGAAUUCAGCACCACCAAACCAGCUCUACAACAAAAGCUAAAGGAACUUUUCUAAGUGGGAAACACAAGAGAAGAAAAGGACCUACAAAAACAAACUCAAAACAAUUAAGAAAAUGGUAAUAGGAACAUACAUAUCGAUAAUUACCUUAAAUGUGAAUGGAUUAGGUGCUCCAACCAAAAGACACAGUCUCACUGAGUGGAUACAAAAAACAAGACCCAUAUAUAUGCUGUCUACAAGAGACCCACUUCAGACCUAGGGACACAUACAGACUGAAAGUGAGGGGAUGGAAAAAGGUAUUCCAUGCAAAUGGAAAUCAAAAGAAAGCUGGAGUAGCAAUACUCAUAUCAGAUAAAAUAGGCUUUAAAAUAAAGAAUGUUACAAAGACAAGGAAGGACACUACAUAAUGAUCAAGGGAUCAAUCCAAGAAGAAGAUAUAACAAUUAUAAAUAUAUAUGCACCCAACAUAGGAGCACCUCAAUACAUAAGGCAAAUGCUAACAGCUAUAAAGAGGAAAUCAACAGUAACACAAUAAUAGUGGGGGACUUUAACACCUCACUUACACCAAUGGACAGAUCAUCCAGACAGAAAAUUAAUAAGGAAACACAAGCUUUAAAUGGCACAACAGACCAGAGAGAUUUAAUUGAUAUUUAUAGGACAUUGCAUCUGAAAACAGCAGAAUACACUUUCUUCUCAAGUACACACGGAACAUUCUCCAGGAUAGAUCACAUCUUGGGUCACAAAUCAAGCCUUGGUAAAUUUAAGAAAAUUGAAAUCAUAUCAAGCAUCUUUUCCAACCACAACGCUAUGAGAUUAGAAAUCAAUUAAAGGCAAAAAAACGUAAAAAACACAAACACAUGGAGGCUAAGUAAUACGUUACUAAAUAGCCAACAGAUCACUGAAGAAAUCAAAGAGGAAAUCAAAAAGUACCUAGAGACAAAUGACAACGAAAACACGAUGAUCCAAAACCUAUGGGGUGCAGCAAAAGCAGUUCUAAGAGGGAAGUUUAUAACAAUACAAGCCUACCUCAAGAAACAAGAAAAAUCUCAAAUAAACAAUCUAACCUUAUACCUAAAGGAACUAGAGAAAGAAGAAUAAAUGAAACCCAAAGUUAGUAGAAGGAAAGAAAUCAUAAAGAUCAGAGCAGAAAUAAAUGAAAUAGACACAAAACAAUAGCAAAGAUCCAUAAAACUAAAAGCUGGUUCUUUGAGAAGAUAAACAAAAUUGAUAAACCUUUAGCCAGGUUCAUCAAGAAAAAGAGGGAGAGGACUCAAAUCAAUAAAAUUAGAAAUGAAAAAGGACAAGUUACAAUGGAUAUGGCAGAAAUAUAAAGCAACCUAAGAGACUACUACAAGCAACUCUAUGCCGAUAAAAUGGACAACCUGGUAGAAAUGGACAAAUUCUUAGAAAGGUAUAAGCUUCCAAGACUGAACCAGGAAGAAAUAGAAAAUAUGAACAGACUAAUCACAAGUAAUGAAAUUGAAACUGUGAUUAAAAAUCUUCCAACAAACAAAAGUCCAGGACCAUAUUGCUUCACAGGUGAAUUCUAUCAAACAUUUAGAGAAUAGCUAACACCUAUCCUUCUCAAACUCUUCCAAAAAGUUGCAGAGGCAGGAACACUCCCAAACUCAUUCUACGAGGCCACCAUCACCCUGACACCAAAACCAGACAAAGAUAGUACAAAAAAAGAAAAUUACAGACCAAUAUCACUGAUGAAUAUAGAUGCAGAAAUCCUCAACAAGGGUCUUCCUUGGUGGCGCAGUGGUUGAGAGUCCGCCUGCUGAUGCAGGGGGCACGGGUUCGUGCCCUGGUCUGGGAAGAUCCCACGUGCCACGGAGCGGCUAGGCCUGUGAGCCAUGGCCGCUGAACCUGCGCAUCCAGAGUCUGUGCUCCACAACGGGAGAGGCCACAACAGUGAGAGGCCCGCGUACCACAGGAAAAAAAAAAUCCUCAACAAAAUAUUAGCAAACAGAAUCCAACAACACAUUAAAAGGAUCAUACAACAUGAUCAAGUGGGAUUUAUCCCAGGGAUGCAAGGAUUCUACAAUAUAUGCAAAUCAAUC
ensembl:lncRNA